GACAGAGGGUGCAAACGUUGCUCGGAAUCACUGGGCAUAAAGGGCGUGUAGGCGGGACGGUAAGUCGGGCGUGAAAUCCCUAGGCUCAACCUAGGAACUGCACUCGAAACUACCAUUCUUGAGUGUCGGAGAGGAAAGCGGAAUUCCUGGUGUAGAGGUGAAAUUCGUAGAUAUCAGGAGGAACACCAGUGGCGAAGGCGGCUUUCUGGACGAUAACUGACGCUGAGACGCGAAAGCGUGGGGAGCAAACAGG
rnacentral:rRNA from 1 species